AGUCGAACGAAAAUUUACGCUUAAAGAGUUGAUUAGUUUACUAAGAGAUGAUUUAUUGUAAAUUUUAGUGGCGGACUGGUGAGUAAUACAUAGGUAAUCUGCCUUUUAGAGGGGAAUAACUAGGAGAAAUCCUAGCUAAUACCGCGUAAGACCACACUUAGGCAUCUAAGAGAGGUCAAAGGAGUAAUCCGCUAAAAGAUGAGCCUGUGGCUGAUUAGUUAGUUGGUGGGGUAAGAGCCUACCAAGACGAUGAUCAGUAGCCGAGCUGAGAGGCUGGCCGGCCACAUUGGGACUGAGAUACGGCCCAGACUCCUACGGGAGGCAGCAGUUGGGAAUAUUGGACAAUGGAGGAAACUCUGAUCCAGUGACGCCGCGUGAAGGAAGAAGGUCUUCGGAUUGUAAACUUAUUUUAUCAGGGAAGAAGAAAGUGACAGUACCUGAAGAAAAAGGACCGGCAAACUACGUGCCAGCAGCCGCGGUAAUACGUAGGGUCCAAGCGUUAUCCGGAUUUACUGGGUGUAAAGGGCGAGUAGACGGCGCUGUAAGUCAGCUGUGAAAACUUAGGGCUCAACCUUAAGCCUGCAGCUGAAACUGUGGUGCUAGAGUGCAGGAGAGGUAAGCGGAAUUCCUAGUGUAGCGGUGAAAUGCGUAGUUAUUAGGAGGAACACCAGUGGCGAAGGCGGCUUACUGGACUGUAACUGACGUUGAGGCGCGAAAGUGUGGGGAGCAAACAGGAUUAGAUACCCUGGUAGUCCACACCGUAAACGAUGGAUACUAGGUGUAGGCGAGAUAUCGUCUGUGCCGGCGCAAACGCAAUAAGUAUCCCACCUGGGGAGUA
rnacentral:rRNA from 1 species